AGGUGUAGUAAUACUUAAUAGAGAAGUUCAGUAAACGCUGACGCGGUCCCGCCGCUGUAUGAGGGAGUGCCAUCAAAUGCCACUGGAAUCAUGACUACUAACCACAGCUAACCAAUUGCUAGGUUCCAAGUCUCUGGGAAGGUGAUGAUCACGACGAACUCGAGCCAGAAGAACUGCCUAAAAUGGA
rnacentral:ncRNA from 1 species